rnacentral:sRNA from 1 species
UUUUUUGUUUUAAAUAGUUUCCAAAAUCUAGUUUAAAUUUUGGAGAAAUUUGCGUGAUAUAUGAGAUUAGAAUAUAUUUGGAAUAUUUUUUGUUUGUUAAUCAAUUUAUUGCCAAAAGAAAACCAAUAAUUAAAAGCCAAUGGCAGGCAUUGUAAAUAAGUUCGAACUCCAAAAUUUAUUUCAUAAAAUGGCUGCAAAAAUGUAUAUAUAAAUAUCAGUUUGUGGAAUAUUUUAGAAAGAAUCAUACGAUGUAAAAUUUUUGAAUUUUUCCUAAAUGUAAACUUUCGAAUUUUCUCUAGUAUAUUUUAAU